GCCCGGCUAGCUCAGUCGGUAGAGCAUGAGACUCUUAAUCUCAGGGUCCUGGGAUCGAGCCCCAUGUCGGGCU